AACCGGGGAAAGAAAACCAGUAGCAGCAGCCGCCGCUGCCGCCGCCACCGCCACAGCAGUAGCGGUAGCGACAACAGCAGCCUUUAGCACGAUAGCGACAGCAACAGCCGAUCUCCUCUCUCCCUCCCGCGGACGGCCGCAGCCGCCGCGCGCGCAGCCGGCUGGCGAGGGAGCCUGGUCCGCGAAGCGCGGAUCCCGGGAGGAGCCGGCGGCCACCCAGGCGCUGAGUUUCAGGGCCAGAGCCCCACAGCUCUGACUCCCUCUAGCGCGGCGGCGACGGCGGCGCCUGAGGGAGGGAGGCGCGUCCACCUGGCGGGCCCGGCGCAUGGAGCUGAGGCAGAGGCGGCGACGGCGACGGCAGCAGUAGCAGCGGCGGCGGCGGCAGCUCCAGCGGUGGCGGCGGCAGCCCAGCCCUGACUGCGGCCGUGUUCGCUCCAGCGCCCGCUGUCUGAGCCCGCCGGCGCCUUGCGCCUUGGGAGUCGGCCUGUGAGGUUGGACAGCAUUUCAACUUGGAAUGAAACAAUAAGAAGUUACAUUCAUGGAUAACCAAGAAGAUAAGGCUGUUGUUGCCUCAGCCAAUGGAGAAAACCCUCUGAUUAAUGGGGUCAAAGAAAAUGACUCAGAGGACCAGGAUGUGGCAAUGAAGUCACUUGCAGCUCUAGAAGCUGCUGUACCAGUCCAGCCUAUGCCAGUGGUUCAGAAAGAGACCCUGAUAUAUCCCAGGGGUCUCCUGCCUCUUCCCUCUAAGAAACCCUGUAUGCAGAGCCCUCCAUCUCCUCUGGACCUGAUUGAAGCACCUGAGCAUACUGCUAAUAGUACUUCUGUGAAUGCCAUCUCCCUUACAUCUGGUGUUGCAAAAGGCCUGAACACAUGGUCACUGCCCAGUGAGUGUGAGAAAGCUCCAUUUGCCAUAAUGGAGCCUACAAGCAUGUCAGAUCUGAAUGGAGACUGCCUCAUGCAGCCCAUCCGGACUUGCUUGGGCUGUUUCAUGGAAUCCAAGGAUGCAGUGGAUCCUGAGCCAGGGAUCAGUCUGAAAGUUGGUGAUCUAAACAGGGAUUAUGAAACCUGUGCAGUCUCUGAUAUAGGCAUUCAGUGUAUUAAUGCUGGAGAAAACAUGAAAUAUGGAGAGCAGCUGCUCUCAGACCAGCUCCUAGGCUUCCCCCUACACAAAUCAAGGGCAGGAGAUAGACGAGAAGCUGAGAAACCUGACAUUGACUUGGAAGAUCCAGCUCAGAAAAAUUAUUAUGAGGCAUUACUGUUAGAUAAGUGCAAUACAGAAGAGGCUUUGCUGGCAAAUUCCAAUCAGGAUUGGGGUUACUUUGAGACUUUCAUUAGUGAGAGUAAGAUUGAACUGCUUGACCUCUGUUCUAAGAAUGAGCUGUCUGUCAACCUAUUCUCUGAAGAAGAUGUGGAUAACUACAUGUUUGAUGAUGAUGAGUCAACACUGGGCAGUGAUGUCUGCUCCCUGAAAAUUAGAUAUGAGUCCUUCCAGGACAAUGUUCGAGACAAGACCACCCUUCUGAUGCAAGAGGAUGCCCAAUUCAACUUUUUUCCCAGUGUCUUUACUACCUGCCCCAAGAGGGAGCCUAAGAGUGGGACCCUGAAGCAGAGCAGUGAUCUUUCCCAAUUCAAGGUCCCUGAUGUGAGCAUCAUCUGGGGGGAAGAAGAUAAAAAUGUGGACAAGAAGAAAGGCAAAGAAGAAGGACAGGAAGACAAAGGUGUAGAAGUGAAAGAUGGAAAGGAUAAUGGAGAAAAAUCUGCCUUAAAUAAGCCAUGCAGUGGGACUGAGGUAGGCCAAUUUAAGAAUCCAAAGCAGGGCCAUCUCACCAAUUCCUUGGAAGCAUUAGGGAAUUUCAGUAAUGACAGUUCUUUCAUUGAGGUCUCUUAUGAUGCCAUGGGGGAGAUCAAAGACUGUAGCCGAUAUAUGGCUCGAGGCACUAAUUCUGGCAACUCCUCCUUCCAGCAGAACUAUGGGCUACGAGCCAAGAGAAAAGUCAGGUACAGUGAAGAUUAUCUAUAUGAUGUCGACUCACUAGAGGGUGAAAAAGUAAAUGAGAGGAAAGAAUGGCUGCCAGGUGGUUCCAAAGAGGAAGAUGAUGAUGAAUGGUGUCCCAAAAAGAGAAGAAAAGUAACCCGUAAGGAGCCCCCUGUUAUCAUCAAAUACAUCAUCAUCAAUCGCUUUAAAGGUGAGAAGAGCAUGCUGGUGAAGUUGGGUAAGGUGAAUGCAAGUGAGACAACAGUGAAUUUGAGUGAGAAUCAGCUCAACAAAUAUGCCAGGCUAUCCCCCUUGAAGGGCUUCUGGCAGAAAAGGAAGAAGCAGAGAAACGGCAACACAGACUCCAACAAGACACCAUUAUGCCAAAAGCAAAGCUUUGAAUCAGGUAGCUUUGAAGUGUCAUUUUCACCACCUGCUCGCAAACGAAAAUCUAAGCUUGGCAACAGGCACAGGAUUCAAAGAAUCCCAUCCAUGGAAACUUCAGCAAGUGGUAAGCAGGUAUCAUUUUGCAGUAAUCAGUGGCAAACUACUAGUAGUAAAGAAGAUGGAGGCCUGAAAAGUACCCUAAAGUCAGUACCUCUAGCUGACCCCAGCUGUGCAAGUGAAUCACAUUUAAAUGACAUCAUAGGCCCCGACUCUUUGAAAAUCAAAGUCCAAGAUGCAGAAUUUAAGGGGACAGAGAGGAAAGUGCUCAACAAAAUCAAAUUUAAAAGUGAAUCCAGGUUAAAAUCCAAGAAAAUCAAAGCUGGGCAAGAAAGCAAACCAGUUGUUCAACUGGGCCCUCUUUUGGAAGACCAAUCCUCCAAGGUUAAUUUGAAGAAUGAAGCUAUUCCUGGGACGUCAAACAGUUCUCAUCGAUCUGAAUUUCAUGAGGCAAAAGUUGCUAAGAAUUGUACUUUCCUACCAACUACCUGCUCUUCUGAAAUGCCUCUCUCAUCUUCUAAUGUUGCCACUAACAUACCUGUUAUCCCUGGAGGGUAUCUGCAGACAUUGUUGGAUGUUUCUGACUUGUCAAAUAACACUGGUAUCUCGUACUUCACUCAUCAUUCUCCAGAGCAAAAUGAAAGCAGCCUCACCCAAACAGAAAAAUCAUUUGUACCUCUCCAACCUGCCCAAGACUGUGUGCUUUCCUCACCCUCUGAGUCUGAGCUGCAGCAGUCAUCCCAAAACUUCAAAAUGGAAUCAAGCAACUAUGGGAAUGUGUGGCCUGACAAGCAUACUUCUGGCCCCCAGGAAUUCAUCACUGAAGUCUCAAGAGAAACAGCUCCAACCCAAUCCAGUGAAUUUGGAGUCUCCCAAGUAGUCUCCAUGGAAAAUAAUCUCACAGCUACAACAUACAAUCGAAUCUGCCUCAAUAGUGGUGGCAGUAGUUGCAACAAGGUCCUAUAUGCCUCUGUGCAAGACACUGAGCUCCCAUCUGAAGACUCUUACCAACUAUAUCACUUGAAUAAUGGAGAGAUCUGCUUUCCUUUCCAGCAGGACCCAGUCAAUACAGAUUUUAGCUUUGAUUUGAUGGCCCCACUUUCUGUCAACUCAAGCAGUUAUUGCUCCUUAAGCCUGAAGUCCUGUGAAAAAGAUGUUGAUGAUGACAUCACUGAUGAAUUCCUGGCCCAUUGCAGCCCCAAACUGGUGAUCCAGCAGAACACUGAUGAAAUAGCACCACUAAAGGAGUCCACUGACCUCCUAGAUAUCUCCAACUUUACUCCUGACAAAUUCCGUCACUCUUCCCUCUCAGAGAUGUCCCCACCUGAUACCCCCAGUCUGUCCCCUCAAAUUACCAUAUGUGAGAGUAUCAAGACACUGGGAACACUGAAGGGGUUCCAAGAAGGUGCCCGAGGAUCACUGGGCAGUUUGGAGAAAAUCAAGUGGAAUUGCAGUACCCUUUCCCAGCAGGUCCAAGUGGAUGAUGGAUUUACUUUAAAUAACCAUCAGUUUCAGUUCCAUAUGUUCAAUGAUGAGGAUUCUGUCAGCCCACUCCAAAAACCCCCUUGCCUAUCAACAUUUAAUGAUCCAGCUGGUCAAAUGAGUACCAACAACAAAGUGUCAAAAUCAAGAAAGAAAAAUUCACCCAGCAAGACUGGAGCUAUGAAUCAAAGCCCUUCUCAGAAAAACACCAGGAAAAAAGCCCCCAAAACCAACAACAAAGGGAUUGAAAAGCCAUUGGGAAAAACCUCCCGUCAGGUCCCUAAAUCAACAAAAAAAGGUAAAUACAUGGCUUCAGUCAGUGGAGAGAAAAUGCAAAUUGGCAUUGGCCGUGGGGGAGGACAAAUCAACAGCAUAUCCUCCACAGAGAAGACAUUGGCUGAAUAUAUCCAACAUGGUGGCUCUGCAGCCUCUAUGAAGAUGCCAAGUCAGAAGGGACUUACAGGAGAUUGGGCUUUGGGAAAGGAGAGUAGCUCAGGCUGGAGUGACAAGAGCAUGGGCACCAAUACCAACAGUCUCCUGGAUGAUGACCAACGGGAAUUUCAGGAGCCUUCCUACAUCUUGUCCAACAUUGCUUCUGGUAUGGCAGAUGUGCAGAGAUUCAUGAUGGCCUCCAUAGAGCCCCUUUGGGAACCCAUGGAGCACCAUGGGGACCCCAACAUAUUCCACUCCCCUGAGUCCAAUAGCCUAAAAUUAAAAACCCUCAAAAUAUUGGCUGGGACACCACAGGAAUCUAAGAAAAAUGUCAACAGUGGGUCCUUAGGAGCCACUAAAAAUCACAGGUCCAUCAAGGGUGUGAGCAAAAGCAAUGUGAAAGCAGCAAUAGGUGAUCCUGGUCAUGUAAACAUGCCUGGCUAUAACGAGGACUCUCGCUCUGCCUUCUUUGAUAAAAAGUAUAAUAAUCUGAGCACUUUAAGCAAUAAUGGACCUACACACAAAAAAUUGUAUCGUCACAAAUCCAGCUCGAAGGCCCUGAGAGAUGAGAAGUUUAAGGGAAAGCGCAUGGAGCGAGAACAGGUCCACAAGGAUGAGGCUGGGACAGCUUCUUUUGAAAAACUGAGGGAUUCUGACUACAAUCUCCUAAAAGCAGAAACAGCAUUUUUGGUUUUACCUGUGUUUGAAGAAGACAGCCCCAUUUUCCAGAAAGACAUUUGAUGUUUGUGUUUUAUUUCUUUCAAAAUAUGCCUUGUGGUAUGUAUGUUGACAUCUAAAUUUUGGUUUGGAACCACUAACAACGCUGCCUGUACUGUGAUCCCCAAGACUCCAGACCUCAAGUCACCUGCUGGGUUACAGGAAUGGAGUUGUCUCUAUGUAAUCAAAAGAUAGCAAUUAAAAGAAAUAAAGAAAAUGUUCCAUGAGUACAAUGUGUUUCAUAAAAACAAAUAUACAAGCAGUUCUCCCAUUCUUCUCCAUAUCAGUUCUGCUUUGGAGAAUGGGGUGGGAAUGGGAUAGAGUGAUAGUCUAAAACUGUUGAAAACAGUUCCCUUGUCAGAACUUGCUAUCAUGAGUACUUUGGAAUGGAUACUCUUUCAGUUGCUCCUAUGGAGCCCAGUAGGGGCCAGUCCUAGGGCAUGGUUCAUCCCUUUUGCCAAACAGAAUUGCCAUUUUUAAGCACCUUUUUUAUUGGCCUACAGUGAGUUAUAGGCUUUUAACAUAAAUUAGUAAGUCCUAACCAAUCAUUUUGUAGUAAAACACAACAAGAAACUGACUUUGAGAAAUGAGCAAUAGGACAAGGCAGAAGAUCCUUAUUCUCUUAAUUACUUGCAUUUAAUAUACCUCUCAGUAUAUUACAUUCUCAGUUCUUCAGUCUUUAGGGCUUUAUUAGUCUUGUCUCUGCUCUCACAAUUAUUUUUCUUCCUGUUGCAACAUAGUACACCUGACUUCUUGGAGAUCCUUUAUUCAACCAGCUACCUUAGUGGAAUGAAGGACAAUGAUAUAAAAAUAGUGUUUUGCCCUAUCACUGAUAUCUCAAGGCAGAUAUUAGAAUUAUCCUUGCUCUCAAAUUCCUGAUUGCCACUCCCUCCUAAGCUCUCUUCGCUGAGAAACUGCUUCCCACUAAUACCAUCCCAACAGAAUCCCAUUUAUUCUUUACUUUCAUGGAAAUGGUAUUCUCCCUUAUUCUUCAUACUUCAUCUCAGGCUUCUCUUCUUGGAGAUUUUCUUCUUUUGUAAUAUUAUAUUGCACUUCCCCAAAGUGUCAGAAUAUAAGAACCUUGGCCAGGCUACUUUCUUUUGGAAUUUCAGAGGAGAACCUUCUCACUCUUAAUUACCUUUAAUUGCCUUGGCCACUUUCAAAUCUAAUUUUAAAAGCACAUACAUGCACAUACAGAAUUAUAUCACAUUACUGAGUAAAGUUGAAACCUCCUUUUCCUUGAAGAUCUGUAAGAAUAGAUCUGAUCCCCUUUCUGCCCUGGUUAGUUGCUGGACUAUAUGAGCUCUGGUGCUGAAACAGGGGCCUUGAUCAAGGUUCUUUGAGACUUUGGAAAUUGUUUGGGUUGGGAAAACUGACUUGAAUGAGUGGCCUCUCCAGUGUCUCAUAUACUAGCUUACUCACAUAUGCUGCUUUUUCCCAGAUUUCUCUUAUGAGUUCAUGUUAUUCUGUGUAAUUAUGUGUUAAGGCCUUACUUCUCCUAAAUGCUUUAGAAACUCCUACACUACCAUGACCAUCACUUCCACUUCUUUAUUCAUUUCCUUGAAGUCCUUGGUACUAGGUGGGCUUUUGUGACAACUUUCACCUUCUCUGACCUUUUUCCUUGCUGGGAAGCAUCUGUAGGUGUGCAAGGGGAGGGAAGUAAGGGAGGCAGGUAUAUGUGUAUGGAAGAGAAAGAAGCAUACAGGAUGCUUCAGAAGCUGUAAACAACUCUGGCCAGCAAUCCUAUGUCCUGUUAUAUAAGGUUCUGCAGUUCUAACCAGUGAAUUUUGGUUUUAGUGGGUUCUAUUUAGCAUUUACUGCCUCAAGGAGAAAAACCAUAUCCAAGGACCUCAUAACCAAGCUUACUCUUACCAACCUGAACCAGUCUAAUGCAGAUCCACAACAUUUUCAUUACAGAUGCUCUCGGGACAGUUCCAAGAAUUGAUGAGAGCUAAGUUUCUGCUCUGAAGAUGAGAAAGUAGCACUAGCUAGUCCUAACCAAUGCUAGAACUAGAAAUGUUUGUUUUCUCCUGUAUUAUAAAGAAGUUAUCUAAUUUAAGGAGUUUUUGUUUUCAUUUUGUGAUUUUUUUUAAAUGAUUGUUCAUCACUACAGGAAUAUGUCCUUUUUAUGAAAUAAAACUAAUAUGAGAUUUGUUUUCUAAUCAUAAAGUUCACUAAACCAAUGAUUAUGUUUAGAAAGUUUAGUACCAAAAUCAAGCAUUGUAGUAACAAAUUAGGGAUCUUAUCAAUACAAUGUAGGCCAGGGAUUUUGUAAAGGUUUCUCAAGUACCUGAAUAAGGGAGAAAAAUUUUAGUUAAACUGCUUAACUUGGGAAACACUGUCAUCAUCUUGAGGGUCCUCAGCCACCAUGGAUUAUUCUGAUGGCAGUACUCAGGCUACCCUUUAAGGCACAGUUUUUACUCAGAGCAUUAAACAGUAGCUGCAGUCAUGAAGCAGAGCUCCCAUUGUAGCUACACAAUACUUGAGAUGUACUCUUGGUUUCAGAAUCAUAACUAAGAGGUAAAACACUGGAGAAGGACAAUGUAAGAGAGGCUUAAUACAUAGAUUAAGAUGUGGACUAGGCCUUUAAAAUCAGUAUCUGAGUAAAUAGAUACUGAAGAAAUACUCAUCAGCAUGAGAUGGAAAUGAUAUCUGUUCAUCUGAGAGGGUUAGUGGUUUCUGAGACUUAGACAACCCCUUCCAAAAGAAGAAAGGAGAUGUUUAAAUCAUUCUGCCUCUUUGAGGGAUGCCUGGUUUUACAGCACAAAAGGAAAGGCUUAGAAUGAAACUAGAAAAAGGCUUUUGUUUUUGACUCCCAGUAAGGAAGAUACAAAGAUUAAGAUGCUCUGCUGGGAUACCUGAAGCACUGACUAGAGUUUGCUGCCUACAGAGUUUUGAAUGUACUAGUCCUUAAUUUAACUUCCAUAAAACUGAAUGCACCUCUUUAGUAAGUUACUGAUUUAUGGUGCUAAAGAAAAUUAUUCUCAUUUUUUUCCUCUACUCCCAAGCCCCUAAAACAUUUAAGAAAUUUUAAAAUAAAAAUGUUAGAGGCCCUUUUUUUUCAUUAAUGUAUCCUAAGUUUCUGUUUGACAUAUGACACUGCAACUUUAAAAUGUUAGGAAAUUAUUUGACUUUUUCUUUAAGAGUUAAGCUUUAUAAAUAAUCUGUAGAGUCCAUUAAAGUAUUAAGCUUAGGGAUCACUCUUAAGACACCUACAAAAUCUUGUAUAUUUUUAAGUGUGCCAAUUUGUAACAUAUUUUGUAAGUGUAUAUUUUUCUUAGAAAAGUGCUGUGAAGUGUCUGUAUGUGAGUUUUCCUUUUUUUGCACCACUAGGUGCUAAUAAAAGGAUAUUUACUUCAAAGUUUCUGGUUUUAGAAACCACAAUACAAAGAAAAAAUACACUUUUGUUGGAAUUUUGUAACACAAAACAUGUUGUGAAAGAGUGUAGUGAUAUUGUGCAAAAGAAAAUGAACAUUUGUGAGCUUCUUGCUGUUUUAUAGAUUUUCUUGUAAAUUAUUCUUGUAACACCUCUGGUUUUGUUGUUCUUGUUGCAAAGGUUUUAAAUAUUUGUGACUGAGUGUAUGGUGAAAUUGUCAUAAUGUUACCUAGUUGAGUUUUGUUAUUGUUUAUGGAAUAAAUAAAAGGAAAAGUU